AUGCCCUCAGAUUUUAGUCAUCUCCUUUCCAUUGCUUGUGCUCUUGGUUUCGGUAUUAGUGAUGCUCACUCUGGUCGUAGGAUCCUCGCUGAUGAAGUGGAGCAUGUUGCGCAGGGAGCGGUUCAUGCUGUCUUUGAAGCCCCUGCCCAGACACACAUAGAGCAGUGGGUUGAGGCAACUGUUGAAAUACGCCAGGCAGAGUGUCAGUACGUGUGCCUGGUAAACUGCAGGGCUGUGAGCGGAAUUUCGAGGGGUCACCAAUAUGAGGAAGUCAACAAUGUGUAGCGGGAGCCAGCACAGGAAGAAGCUCAGCACCACUGCUAGGAUGACCCUCACUGUUCUCUUGGAGCGGGUCCGUCCACGGGUCAGUCCUCUCUCGGCCCUCAUGUACACCACCAAGUGACAGACUACAAUCACCAGGAAUGGGAGGAAGAAUCCCACGAAGAAGCGAAAGCAGGUGACGAGCCAGGCACUGACUACAGUGUACCUUGCCACGCACUCUCGCUUGUCUGCACCUGCCUCGAUCUCCUUGGUGUAGACAAACUGGGGGAUGCUGCCAAUUAGGGCCAGGCACCAGACAGCAACGCACGUGCACGCAGCCUGCUUAGGUCGCCUGCGGUUCUGACACCACACGGGUUUGCUGACCAGCAUCCAGCGAUCCACACUGAUCAAAACCAGCUGCAGGACACUGCAGUACAUCACCAGGUAAAACAGGCCUUUGACCAUUGUGCAGGCCAGCGGGCCAAAGUGCCAGUGGUCAUCGUGGGCUAGAGGGACCAUGAGCAAGGGGAGGGAGAGGCAGCACAGAAGAUCAGCCAGGGCGAGGUUGAGAAACCAGAGGGAAGUGACAGAGCGUUGCAUGCAGAAGCCCGUCACCCACACCACCAGCGCGUUUCCAGGCACACCCAGCAGGACCACAAGGCCGUAGAAAACCAAAGCCGCUAUCUGGAUCGGUUGAAUCUCGAGGGCCAAAGUGUUCAUCAGAGGGGCUGGGUUCUUGGAGGUCAAGUCAGUUGAGGGGUGGAGCGCUGCUUGGUGGAAGCGUGGGGGUAUCAUCUCUAAAAGCAUCCGACUGAAGUCUGCGAUGUUGGCUGGGGGGAUGCACUGCUCCAAGAACAGGUCCUCCUCAUCUUCCUCCAUGUCUAUGUUCUCUGGAGGCCAGCGCAGCUCUCCGCUCUCCACCUCGCUCACCUCUGUGGGUUCAACAACGAUGGAGGGUAGACGCUCCUUCUCAUGGUUGUGGUCCAGGCUGUUCAAGGUGGUCUCUGGGCCCAGGACAACCUCAACAGGGUCAGGGAAGAUCUGGAGGAAAAUCAGGGAAAGGUGACUGAGAAUUGAGCAGAAAAGUCAUACUGAAAGUAAGUUCUGUUUAUAGCAAAAUAUGUCCGUUUAGAAUAAUCUUUAAAUCUGCAUUUGUUUUAAUAGUUUUGGUAUAUUGUCCAGUUUUCACCACUCUCAUAUUAAAUAAUCCUACAGAUUUAUCUCGCUCUCUCUGUCUCUCACACACCUACGCAAUGUCUGGACCUUGGAUUUUGUGUACUUAUUGUAUCUCAUGGUUUUUAAUCCUUGUUUUUAUCAGCAUUUGUGUCAGUACUGUCUAGCAUUUUCCGACAAGCCUGUUUUAAAAUAAUAAACAUAAUAUGAAAAAGGCAUUUUUCGGAAACUAUUAUAUUGUCUUGGUGUGAUAAAUUCAACCAGGUUGGGUUGCUACACAUGAUGAUGAUGGAAAAUACCUGGAAUGGCAGUCUUUGGUCCUUCCUUUGCAUGUCUUCACAGUUUGGGUCUUGACUGCUCAUCUCCUCCAUCUCUCUGCAGAUGAAACAAAGCCAUAAUGAGACUAGCACAGAAACUAGAAACAAACAUACACUGUAAAGGAAAAAGUGCCAUAUGUGUUAUGACCCUGGAGUCAUAUUUUGUUGUUUGUUUAUCUCUCCUGGCACUGUCAGCUGUUCUCCUCCAUUAGAGUGUGUGUGUGUGUGUGAGUGUAUGCAGGUACUGGAAAACAGGUGGACACACUGGAUUGGUCCGGUUG